rnacentral:lncRNA from 1 species
UAUUCCCAUCAUUAGAGCCUUCACCAAAUGAGAUUGGAGGUUCAGCACAGUGUUGCUACGACAGCAACAACUGCGCCUGCACUGAGUCUGCUGCCACGUCAUAUCCUGCAGCCACACCAACUAAAUGUGCUGCCUCUUCUGGUCCUGCAGCCUUAGCAGUCACACUGCUUUCUGCCUCUGAUGCUGACAUGUUGGAGUGUUCGUUCAGCAAGGAUGAACAGCUAAGAUAAUCAAGGAUCCACAAGGAGUAUUAUAGGUUGACCUGCCUAACGGUGGGAUGCUCUCAAGGGCCGCCUCAAAAAAGGACUUCCAUUUGGCUCAGCGGUGCACCAUCGCAAUAUGGUGGACAGAUGCCGGCGCGCAUAGGAGGUUCACGGGAACAAACCGCUUUGCAGCAGAAGGCGGCCAGAAGGCUGCACAGCAGCCAUUGUCCCCACACAACGUGGAAGCAUAGAUAGACUCUUCCAAGCACUACAGUGCUGCCCAAAGCUUUUCGGAAGAGGAGGCAAAA